rnacentral:lncRNA from 1 species
GUUGGGACUCACAUGGUCGGCAGUGCGAAGAAGGGGAAACGGAAACGAUUCUACGACUAUUCUCACCGCACGUAUAUGUCAACAGAUGAGGCUACGGAAGCGGAGCAAUUGCCAGAGAAGCACAACGUCACGAUUGGAAUAUUGACAGAAGGAUGUCGAUUUGAGUUUAUAAACUUUAGCCAAUCAACCCAAUUUCGAUUUGAAGGAAACAAAACAGAGUUUACAUCACAUAUAAAAGCAAAUAAACAAUUCCCGCGUGUCAUUCUAGAUUAUCGUCACUCAAGUGAAUUCCGAUGACGCGGUACCGAACAAUUGAAAUCAAAUUAAAUUAUAGGAAUUACAAAAGUUUCCGAUAAGAUAAAUUCGAAUUUUAUUUACGAGGUUCAAAUUAAGACCUUUAUAUUAUGAUUAAUAUGCUGCGUUAACAAUAAUAUAUCUAAAGUUACAAUAUUGUUCAAUAAAUACUUAUUAAACUAUUAAUUACUACAUUUAUUUUUAAGUAUAUGCAAAUGUAACAGAUAUUCGAAUUAAUACAGUAAUAAUUAGCAUAAAAAGAUAUCUUUGUAUUUUAAGAUCAAAGGCCUUCAGAUUGUAUUAAAUAAUAUUAUUAUUUCCUAAUAACUCAAAGUAAGAGCUUAACAUAAAAAGCAUCUAAAUCCGUGUUGAUUAUUUCGAGCAAAUAUCUUAUUAAAAAAAGAUAACGUAAAGAUAUAAAUUUUAAGGGGAUAAAAGUAAGAGGAUAAAAAUUAAAUAUCAUAUUUAUAAAAAAAUAGAUAAAAAGUAAAUAUAAACAUGUGUUUAUAAUGUACAAAUGCACAUACGCAAUAUAUGUACAGUGACGUAGCAAGGGGGGGGAGGUGAAAUUUUCCCCGAGAGACAGGUUUUAGGGGGUAUCAAAAUUCUCGAUUAUUUUCGUGAAAGAUCCUUUAGAAGAUGCUAAAAAAUUAAAUCAAAAUUAACUUUUAAGCGUAAUAAUUUGGAUUAAUUAUUAUAAUUGUGUGCACGUGACACUUAUGACACAGAAAUUAUACACAUAAGAAAUUCAUUUUUGUUAAAUCUCUUGGUAAAUCUUUAUUAAAUCAUCGUGAGAAUCUGUAUUAAAUCAUUCAUCGAUGCGAUAAAUCUUUACAAAGUGUUAAAUUGACGCAAAGCGACGUAUUAAAAGUAACAAAUGCAUUGAAAAAUGGAAUUUUAUCAAUUCAUAAUUGUGGAAUUGAGCCAAUAAAAGACAUAGCAUUUAUAUGUGUACGUUACAAUAUUGAUUCUAAUUAAAUUCAUAGAAGUCUGUUUGAGAAAGAAAAAAACAUAUACUUAGUGAUGAAUCGGCUACUUAUGAAGCUUUAGAUAGAAAAAAUAAAGUUUAACAAGAAAUGAAUUUGGCAUGUUAUAGAUUUUUGAUAGAACUGCACAAUUGUUUUCUUGCGACCACAGACAUAAUGCAUACUUCAAUAUUGUAAGCGAUAAAAUUUUAACAAUGACGGAUGAUGACAUCAAUCAGAAAUCAAUUACUCUUGUUAAAGAAGUUCACAAAGAUUUCGACACAGAAGAAUUAACAGGCAAAUUACUAUCUUAUACGUUAUGCCAGAAAUUAUAGAAAAUCUUAAUAGCUUAAGUAAGAAUGAUAAUAAAACGUCAAAGUACAAUAAUUAAAAUUAAAAAAAAAAUUUUUUUAAUUGAAUUUACAAAAUGUAUACCCUAAUUUAAGCAAUGCGUACAGACGUUUUUAAAUUUUCUCGUAACUGUAGUAAAUUGUGAAAAAAGUUUUAGGAAAUUAAAAAUAAUUAAAAGUUUCUUACAAUCGACAAUGUCACAAAAGCAAUUAACAAACUUGGCUAUUUUAAGUAUAGAAUGUAAUAUAGCUUGUUCAUGAUUAAUAAAUUAUGACAGAAUAAUUAACACAUUUGCAGAAAGAAAAUGUCGUAAAAUUUAUUUUUAAACGUGCACGGUAAUUUUCAAACAAAAAAAUAUUUACUAUAAAAUAAAAUUCAGUAUUUAUGCGUUUGUUUGCUAUCCAAAGGCGGCAUUUUUAAAAAUUUCCGAGC